rnacentral:misc_RNA from 1 species
GAUGAAGAACGCAGCGAAAUGCGAUAAGUAAUGCGAAUUGCAGAAUACAGUGAGUCAUCGAAUCUUUGAACGCACAUUGCGCCCUGUGGUAUUCCGCAGGGCAUGCCUGUUCGAGCGUCAUUUCAACCCUCAAGCCCCGCUUGGUGUUGGGCCCCGCCCGCUGUGGCCGGCCCUAAAGACAGUGGCGGCGCCGCCUGGCCCUCAGCGUAGUACAUCUCUCGCUCCAGGGUCCGGUGGCCGCCUGCCAGAACCCCCCAACUCUGUGGUUGACCUCGGAUCAGGUAGGGAUACCCGCUGAACUUAAGCAUAUCAAUAAGCGGAGGA